rnacentral:rRNA from 1 species
CCUACGGGAGGCAGCAGUGGGGAAUUUUGGACAAUGGGCGCAAGCCUGAUCCAGCAAUGCCGCGUGCAGGAUGAAGGCCUUCGGGUUGUAAACUGCUUUUGUACGGAACGAAACGGUGAGCUCUAAUAAAGUUUGCUAAUGACGGUACCGUAAGAAUAAGCACCGGCUAACUACGUGCCAGCAGCCGCGGUAAUACGUAGGGUGCGAGCGUUAAUCGGAAUUACUGGGCGUAAAGCGUGCGCAGGCGGUUAUAUAAGACAGAUGUGAAAUCCCCGGGCUCAACCUGGGACCUGCAUUUGUGACUGUAUAGCUAGAGUACGGUAGAGGGGGAUGGAAUUCCGCGUGUAGCAGUGAAAUGCGUAGAUAUGCGGAGGAACACCGAUGGCGAAGGCAAUCCCCUGGACCUGUACUGACGCUCAUGCACGAAAGCGUGGGGAGCAAACAGGAUUAGAUACCCUGGUAGUCCACGCCCUAAACGAUGUCAACUGGUUGUUGGGUCUUCACUGACUCAGUAACGAAGCUAACGCGUGAAGUUGACGCCUGGGAAGGUACGGCCGCGAAGUUGAAACGUUCAAAUUGAAUUGACGGCGUUGAGACNGCGACGACGACGACGAGGAGGAGG